rnacentral:rRNA from 1 species
GACGAACGCUGGCGGCGUGCUUAACACAUGCAAGUCGAACGGAAAGGCCCUGCUUUUGUGGGGUGCUCGAGUGGCGAACGGGUGAGUAACACGUGAGUAACCUGCCCUUGACUUUGGGAUAACUUCAGGAAACUGGGGCUAAUACCGGAUAGGAGCUCCUGCUGCAUGGUGGGGGUUGGAAAGUUUCGGCGGUUGGGGAUGGACUCGCGGCUUAUCAGCUUGCUGGUGGGGUAGUGGCUUACCAAGGCUUUGACGGGUAGCCGGCCUGAGAGGGUGACCGGCCACAUUGGGACUGAGAUACGGCCCAGACUCCUACGGGAGGCAGCAGUGGGAAUAUUGCACAAUGGGCGGAAGCCUGAUGCAGCAACGCCGCGUGCGGGAUGACGGCCUCGGUUGUAACGCUUCGUCCUCGUGACGAAGCGUGAGUGACGGUAAU